GAUGUAUUAAAAGGUAUGCACCGGUGUCAGACAUUCCCAAGGAGAUAAUUAGUAAUUUUUGGCGAACAGGUGAAAUAUCUGAGAGAGCAAGACAAAAGGGACUGCAGUAUGCAUUCGAGGGAUAUAUCCACGACAUAAUAUGCAACCGAUGAGAGAAUAAUUUCAUCAAAAUUGAAGCUAAAUCCUAUAGGUCAUGCAAUAAUGUGAGCCGCCUCAUACGCUGACCAUUCAAAUGGGAAACA